CUCCCUGAGACUUAGAGUCUCCUGAAGGAACGUUGAAGACGACGACGUUGAUAGGCCGGGUGUGUAAGCGCAGCGAUGCGUUGAGCUAACCGGUACUAAUGAACCGUGAGGCUUAACCUUACAACGCCGAAG
rnacentral:rRNA from 1 species